rnacentral:rRNA from 1 species
UACGGAGGAUCCGAGCGUUAUCCGGAUUUAUUGGGUUUAAAGGGAGCGUAGGCGGGAGGUCAAGUCAGCUGUGAAAUGUAUCUGCUUAACGGGUACACUGCAGUUGAAACUGGUUUUCUUGAGUGCGUAAGAGGCAGGCGGAAUUCGUUGUGUAGCGGUGAAAUGCUUAGAUAUGACGAGGAACUCCUAUUGCGAAGGCAGCUUGCUGGGUCGUUACUGACGCUGAUGCUCGAAGGUGCGGGGAUCAAACAGGAUUAGAUA